UACGGGGGGAGCAAGCGUUGUUCGGAUUUACUGGGCGUAAAGGGCGCGUAGGCGGCCACCGCAAGUCAAUUGUGAAAUCUCCGGGCUUAACUCGGAAAGGUCAACUGAUACUGUGCGGCUAGAGUGCGGAAGGGGCAACUGGAAUUCUUGGUGUAGCGGUGAAAUGCGUAGAUAUCAAGAGGAACACCUGCGGCGAAGGCGGGUUGCUGGGCCGACACUGACGCUGAGGCGCGAAAGCCAGGGGAGUGAACGGG
rnacentral:rRNA from 1 species